CGGAUUGUGCAGAGUCAUCUGGGCACAUCCAGAGCUUUGAAGUGCUUCAUAAUAUGGUAAAUAUUGCAAGUCAACAGCUAUCUAGAUUGCAAUAUAAAUAAGGUUGAUGAUGACAAAAUAUUUUAGUACAAAGACAUCAGUUUAACUGAAGAAGUCAUAGCUAUCAGGCCUCACCAUGACUAGGAUGAAAGAUCCUUCAAGACUGCCUGCCACCUCCGCCCUGAUUCUACAUUCCCCUCAGGAACCUUCUGGCUAUUAAUUUGGCUUCCCAAUUAUUCUGAAACCAGAAAGGGAUAAAAAUAACAAUAUGAAGGAUGUAUUGUGCAAAUCUUUUUAAAAGCCUGCAAAACAGCAGAAAGAAAUCAAUUAGAAUUGCCAUGGCAACUACCAACAAUUUUAUAUGCAAGAACGAAAUAAAAUAAGAAAAGUAACAAAAUAGAAAAUGCAUAAACCGAUUCAAAUACCAUGAAGUGUUUAUGAAGUAAACACUGUAGAGUGAAGCUACAUGAAAAUAGAUUUCAUUAAGGUAAAUGAAACAUAGUUUAACUCUUCAUUACAAAUGAGCGAGGUAUAGAUCAUGAAAUAAACUAUUAUUGAUAAACUCUUAAUGAUAUAGUUUUUUAGUUAAAACAAUUUUUGGAAAACAAGUUUAGACAGAUCAGAAGAGUAAAUUAAA
rnacentral:lncRNA from 1 species